rnacentral:rRNA from 1 species
CUACGGGGGGCUGCAGUGAGGAAUAUUGCACAAUGGGGGGAACCCUGAUGCAGCAACGCCGCGUGGAGGAUGACGCAUUUCGGUGUGUAAACUCCUUUUAUAUGUCAAGAAAAUGACGGUAGCAUAUGAAUAAGCACCGGCUAACUCCGUGCCAGCAGCCGCGGUAAUACGGAGGGGUGCAAGCGUUACUCGGAAUCACUGGGCGUAAGGGACGCGUAGGCGGGUUGGAAAGUCGGGUGUGAAAUCCUACAGCUUAACUGUAGAACUGCACUUGAAACUUCUAAUCUAGAGUAUGGGAGGGGGAGAUGGAAUUAGUGGUGUAGGGGUAAAAUCCGUAGAUAUCACUAGGAAUACCUAAAGCGAAGGCGAUCUCCUGGAACAUUACUGACGCUAAGGCGUGAAAGCGUGGGGAGCAAACAGGAUUAGAUACCCCGGUAGUC